CCUACGGGCGGCAGUAGUGGGGAAUAUUGGACAAUGGGGGCAACCCUGAUCCAGCCAUGCCGCGUGUGUGAAGAAGGCCCUCGGGUUGUAAAGCACUUUCAGUGAGGAAGAACGCCUGGUGGUUAAUACCCAUCAGGAAAGACAUCACUCACAGAAGAAGCACCGGCUAACUCCGUGCCAGCAGCCGCGGUAAUACGGAGGGUGCGAGCGUUAAUCGGAAUUACUGGGCGUAAAGCGCGCGUAGGUGGCUUGAUAAGCCGGUUGUGAAAGCCCCGGGCUCAACCUGGGAACGGCAUCCGGAACUGUCAAGCUAGAGUGCAGGAGAGGAAGGUAGAAUUCCCGGUGUAGCGGUGAAAUGCGUAGAGAUCGGGAGGAAUACCAGUGGCGAAGGCGGCCUUCUGGACUGACACUGACACUGAGGUGCGAAAGCGUGGGUAGCAAACAGGAUUAGAUACCCCAGUAGUC
rnacentral:rRNA from 1 species